UUCCAUUAAAAAAAAAACAAACCCUGAAACCUCUAACAGUUUUCAGGACAAAUACCAGAGUUUGAUGAGCAUCAGCAAGCUUUAAAGGGCAUCUUCCGUGCCCCUGACAAGUGCAGAGAGGAUGCCCAAGGUUGUCCCUGCCUGACAGAUUCCACCGGGAAAGCAAAGUUAGCAGGAAUCUCGGGGCUGGUGGCAGCAAGGAAGGAAUCCAUCCUGUUAUCAAGUACUUACAGAGAGAGACUAUACUCAGUCAGGCAGUCAAAAACACGCCUACUCAGAUAAGGGUAUCCCUGCAAAGAAAUCUCUUGACACUGCUUUGACAUAUUUACGUUCUUCUGCGAUUAUUCAGUUGCAAUAACUUAGAGCUCUUCGUCUGACACUCAAACACGAGCCAGUCCCAGUCCCCAGCCCUACACGGGGAAGGGAAACACAACGAUGCUGGUUAGGGGCUGGUUAGGGUGAGAGCCGCAGCAAGCCGAGAUUCAAAGCCUGUAGAGCUCUGAGUAUACAAUUAAAAUAUUAAUCUAAUGCGAUCUAAUCAAAGAUACCACAUCUAGAUAGAGCAUCCCUGAAGUUACAGUGAGAUUAUGCUACUCUUAAGUCUUGUUAGCCUGGACUUGUUGGAAGAUCUGCUAUCUAGUAGCAAGAUAUAAUCGGUAAAUUAUUUCUUUUAAUUAAUUCAUUGAAGUAAACAGAAAAUACCCUGGGUCCUAUCUGUCUACAUCUCUUUGGAAGAAAGGCAAAAGAGUUCAACGGCAGUUUUAAAUUGGGGAAAGGAUUCCUGCGUGGCAGCAGAGGAGCAGAGACUGCGGUAGCAUCCCUUGGAAAUACACACUACCUUCUUCAAAGCAACAAAAAAACACCGCCUGAAGCCCACCCAAAAGACUGUGGCUUGGAAAACCUCUAUCACAAGCCGAAGAUGAAGUGCCUCCCACGUCCCCAGCGCAGUAAGGAUCUGCUAAGGUCGCCUUUGAUUUGCAUUGAGAGCAGCAGGCAGAAUCACAUUUGAAGGUGAGAAAAGUCAAGGACCAGUUUUGUUGAAAACUAGAGGAUCAGCUCAGGAGGUGCUGUAGGAAGCUCACUGCUUAGGUGAGACUGGGGUGUUGAUGGGGAUAUUAUUUGUCCCUUCAGUGAGAACCUGUGGCUA
rnacentral:lncRNA from 1 species